rnacentral:rRNA from 1 species
CUGAUGGCGGCGUGCUUACCAUGCAGUCGAACGCGAAAGGGACUUCGGUCCUGAGUAAAGUGGCGCACGGGUGAGUAACGCGUAGAUAACCUGUCUUUAUGUCUGGAAUAAUACGCCGAAAGGGGUACUAAUACCGGAUAUUUUUGCAUUGCACAAGUGAUGUAAGCAAAGGUGGCCUCUGACAUAAGCUACUGCAUAAAGAGGGGUCUGCGUACCAUUAGCUAGUAGGUGGGGUAAAGGCCUACCUAGGCUACGAUGGUUAGCGGGUCUGAGAGGAUGAUCCGCCACACUGGCACUGGAACACGGGCCAGACUCCUACGGGAGGCAGCAGUGAGGAAUAUUGCGCAAUGGGGGCAACCCUGACGCAGCGACGCCGCGUGAGUGAGGAAGGCCUUCGGGUCGUAAAGCUCUGUCAAAGGGAAAGAAGUGCAUGGAGGUUAAUACCCUUCAUGUUUGACGGUACCCUUAAAGGAAGCACCGGCUAACUCCGUGCCAGCAGCCGCGGUAAUACGGAGGGUGCAAGCGUUGUUCGGAAUUACUGGGCGUAAAGGGCGCGUAGGCGGUUUGAUAAGUCAGAUGUGAAAGCCCACGGCUUAACCGUGGAAGUGCAUUUGAAACUGUCAGACUUGAGUACCAGAGGGGAAAGUGGAAUUCCCGGUGUAGAGGUGAAAUUCGUAGAUAUCGGGAGGAAUACCGGUGGCGAAGGCGACUUUCUGGCUGGAUACUGACGCUGAGGCGCGAAAGCGUGGGGAGCAAACAGGAUUAGAUACCCUGGUAGUCCACGCUGUAAACGAUGUCAACUAGAUGUAUGGGGUGUUGAUCCCUUCUGUGUCGCAGCUAACGCAUUAAGUUGACCGCCUGGGGAGUACGGUCGCAAGAUUAAAACUCAAGGAAUUGACGGGGCCCGCACAAGCGGUGGAGUAUGUGGUUUAAUUCGAUGCAACGCGAAGAACCUUACCUGGUCUUGACAUCCCGGAAAUCCCUUGGAAACUUGGGAGUGCUUCCAUUAGAGAGUCCGAGACAGUGCUGCAUGCUGUCGUCAGCUCGUGUCGUGAGAUGUGGGUUAAGUCCCGCACGAGCGCACCCUUGCC